AAGAUAAAGGGGGGAGGGUUGGGGGGGGAAGAGGGAGGGAGGAGGUGAGCGAGUGGGGAGAUGUGAGAGUGCAAUUGGAAACUAAUAAAACUCUUGUUAAAGUGCUUGCUCAGGAUCCAUGGCGUCACCAGGUCCUUUGCUCGCGAAGCCAAAGAGUUUUAUUCCUAAAUGAGUUAAAGAGCCAUUUACCUCUGUCGUGUUCUAUUCAUCAAGCCACAAGUCGAGAGUCCCUAACAUGAAACUAUUUGUUUGCUUACACAACCAGCUGGGUGCAAUUUCACGUCUGAGAUAUCUAUCUGAAAGCGCCUCUCAUUUAUUAUCCCUCCUUGUCAGCGAAUCCAUUUUCCAACUUUCCCCCCACCCCCUCGCCCCGUCCCCAUUCACUGCAGGCUCCGGUCUUAAACGGUCCCUUAAAUUUUUCGGCACCUACACCCCCCUCCCCUCCCACCGGCGCACAGAGCCGGGGAAAGGCUUCACGCCGUGAAACUCGGAGAGCUUCGACCGAGCUGCUUCCCUGUCCUUCUCCAUUUCUCCCUCACCCCGCAGGCCUGGUUGCAGCAGAACGGCUUUUUCCCCUUUUCCCUUUUGAUCGGACUUCACCACGGGGAUGCCCGGCGCAAGGUGCAGCCGCCGGGAGAUGGAUGCACGGAGCGUGCAGUGGGAAGGGCCGAAACCGCUGCGGGGACCCGGCCCGGCCUCAUCCCGGCCUCGGUGGUCCUGACUCCGCGGGGGCCGCGGGGCGGAGGCGGCGGACUCGGAGCCCGGGUGGGAGCGGGGGCGAGGAGGGACUUCGGGGUCUUUUCUGCCACCCCACGUGGUUCCCACCAGAAAUACAAAGACGCUACGAGCAACGGGCCCGGCCGGGUUUCAGAUGUAAUUGCGAGGAAAGAAAACAAUUAACAAAAGGGGCAGUGGGAAACUGUAUCUCCCCUCCCUCCCUUUACCCCCAGUUUUGAAAAGUCGAGAUAAUGUGAGCAGUGUUUCCAUCAGGGCACUCUGGCCAACAAGAGACCACUGUCAGCGAUGGCCGUACAGCAGUGCACACACGUCUCCUCCUCAGAGCCCUCCGCCCUGCUUAAAGCCGUGGAUCAAACCCACAACCACAGGGCACGACAUCUUCCCAGUUGCUACAAAAAUAAGAAAUAAAAGGAAAGAAGGAUGGGAUGGGAGGCGCGGCAGGCGGGCUGCGGGAAGAUGCGGCGUGCGGCGGGCCGGGAGCCGUCCCAUUGUCCCGGGCUCAGAAGACCUCCGCUGCCCGCAGGGGCUGCACACGACGCCUCUCGCCCGAACCCCGCGAGCCCCGGCCACGGCCUCGGGUCCGCACUCGAUCCCCACACAAACGUCCACGCAUGUCCGGGUCACAGCGUGUUGCUUCAGCCCAGGACAGCGCAGAGGUGCCUGGGGCCCAGCCGACGGCCAUCGCUCCCUCCCCGCCGCCCUUUGGCUCCCCAGGGGACCAUCAGUCCCCCCCUCCUUUUUUUGGGGGGGGGGCGGGGUGUUUUAUUUCACCAUUACUCAGCCGCUGUGUGUGCUGCGGGACCGGGCCCACGCGUGACUCCAUGGACAGACAGGCGGGUCCCCGCUUUCGUUCUACUCUGGUCUUUUUUUUUUUCCUCCCUCGGGUUAUCCUGGGGAAUCAGGUCUCUCCUGAAGGUCUGCACCCGCUCUGCACAAAGAGACAGAAGAGAAGGGGUUGGGACUCAGCUCCGAAGGCCAAAGAGCUCUUUAAACCCCCGGGCUGCAACCACACCGCCGCUCUGAGCGGCGCUUCAGGGGCCGGAGAGCCGCGCAACUCCCGACACAGCGCUGCGGCUCCGUGGAGCGAUAAAUAACGCCGCUCAGGUACUUUUUCUUUCAGAGAACCAUACAAAUUGGCCCGUGUUGACAGAUGUUUGUCACUUAGUAACUUCUUUCCAAGUUUUUUUUUUUUUUUUUUUUUUUCCCCUCCCUCUUCCCUCCUCUAAGCCUUCUUCCGAGCCCGCUUUGUUGUUUUAAAAUAUGCAUGUCUCUCAGGAAUGCGAGUCACGAGUCCAAACUUCGUGUCCAACCUCCCACAAGAAAUGAUCCUUUUAUAGGGAACCCGAUAUGUCUCAAUCUGCACUUCACUCAAAGCCGCUGGAUAUAGGGCGCCGCUCCCUGCGCGCAAAUCACCGCGCCGAAGCGCAUUUCCACCCCCAUCCCCCCCCCCCCCCCCCAAAAAAAAAACCCACAACCAAACUACUAAACAAACAAACAAACAAAAAAAAACCCACGCAUGGCUCCCGGUGAGGAAAUACAGCUCCCAUGGUAUGGUGAGAAGGGAGUGCAGCCUGGAGGAAGGAAAAAAAUACUUAAGAAAGGGAAAAUAAGGAAAAAAAGGAGGGGAGAAGGGAAGUUUUAUUCCUGCGCACGCCGCGCAGGGCCAUCGCAAGCAGUGGGUUUGCCAAGGACGUGCCCCUGCGCAGCUCCGGGUGCGUGGGGAGAAGACGUCAGCUCGUGGCGAGCGGAGGAGAGAUGGAAGAGCAGAGCCCAACUUCGGGAAAAGACGCGCUGAUGGCAAACAUCACCCGGCGAUGAAUACUGCAUACGUUUAAUUACGAUGCCCGCUCACCGCGCUCGCACGCACCCCAACCGCCCGUCACACGGAGAGAGAGAUUUCGCUGCGGAGAGGGACAUCCUGCGCAGAGCCCCUAAGAGUCCCAGCCGUGAGGGAGGCGCUCCGGGGGCACUCCCGGCAGCGCUGCGCGCGUUACGGGGACCGCGUCCCCCCGCGGAGCUCUGCGCCUCCGCGCAGCGCACGGCCCAGGUGCCCCGCGCAGGUGCGCGCGCCGCGCGUGAGCGCUUUCCCCACUUUUGUGGGAACUCUUAAAAUACAUAUGUAUAAAAUAAACGCAGCCGAAGUCACAGAGUUUGGGUUUGCUACUGCGACCGUACCUCGGCUGUGCCGAGGAUGAUACGCCCCAGCCACGGCACGGAGCGCAGAGGAGAGGCGCUCCGGGCGCUCUCCGGCGUUACACGUGUGCGUGGCCACAGAGCGGUGCGUGGAAAAAUUAACAUCUGUUUCCCGAAAGUAAAGUGCUCCACGUGGCUCCUUACGAAAGCUUCCCUCAGUUUAAAGAGAAAUAUGUGGAGAUAAACUGGCAUCCAUAUGCAUAUCAUAUUGAUAAUGGUUUUAGGCUCCGGAGGUAGCUAUUCAUUGCAUAAGCCAUUUAGAACUGACGUUUUGAAAGCUUCUUAACCUCAGACAUCCCUGCAUCUUAAAGAAGGAUUCCCAACGAUGUUAUUUAAAGAGGAAUUUGCUGUAAUUUAAUUGCACAUCAAGGGGGAAUGGCACGGUCCCGGACUCGGAGCCCGCCUACGCUGCAUCCCGCGGCGCUCCCACGCGCGUCCCUUCGCGGUGCUGCGCCCACCGCUGCCCUUCGCCAUUCCCGCAAUGGCAGGUCGGACCCGGCAGAACGGCCGCCCGGCAGGCAGCUGGGACCCCCACUUUCUUCCCCCUCCCCCCACAAAUGGGCCUUCCUCCCCCCUUCGUCUUUUCCAGUGAGAACUGUCACGGUACGGGGGAAGCGAACCCCCGCGGCGCUUUGAGAAUAGGGGGGUGUCCCAACUGCACCGCCGCCGUGGGCCGGGGCAGGGAGGGUCAAUGUGGCAGUCCCGCGGGGGGCCUGGGGAGACCCCCCAACCCCGGGCCUGCACUGCGGGGGCUUUGAAGAGGGGGGGUGUCCCGAGCGGGAUUCCCUGUGUCCGUGGGCGCACUCCGCGUGGGUGUGGGGGGGUAAGGGGACCCAAGCAGUCAGAUCCUCUCUGAGUUACAGGGAGCUUCUUUCUUUUCAUUUUCUUUUUGCAUUUCUUUUUUUUUUUUUUUCCUUUUCCUUUUUUUCUUCCCUCCCCCCCCCUCCCCCCCCCUUUUUUUUUUUCUUUUCUUUUUCCCAUAUAUAUAUUUUUUCCUUUUCCUUCCCCAAAGGCCAUAGCAUUGCUGCUCACACGGACACGCGGACCUCCAGCCCCCUCAUUCUGUGCCUUGAAGGGGCGGUUCGUGCUCUCUGCCUGGGCAAAGGGUUGGCAGGGAAUUGCCAUGUGCAAUUCUAGGAAGGAAAAAGGCACAAACCCACAGUUCUGUCUUGCUUGGUAAAAUCAUUAAAAUACGUGAAGUGACGUGAAGUUUGGAUGUAUGUGAACACAGUGGACAGAACCUGCGAGGACGGUCCCACUUUAGGAUAGGGUCUUUAUUUAAGGAUGGUGUAUUUGCAGGGGAAAAAAAGGGAGUAUCCCACAAAGCCCCGCUAUACACCGAUAACAAAACGUGUCACAUCUUCACUUAUUGCCGGAACAGAGCCGUGCCCUCAUCUGAACACCUCCGAAGUGAUUACUGGAUCCCUCUCUGAUAAAUCAGUUUGUGGAACCGAGCCGGGAGCACACAGACAAAAAGGUGGGAAGGGGAGAAGAAAAAAGAAAGGGAGAGAGAGGAGUGGGAGCUCUGCUCGCACCGCGUCUGUCCCUCAUUGCACCUUCCCAGUACCGCGGGAGUGCCCCUCCGCCCGUUCUCCUUCCGAAGAAGCUUUCGUUGGUGGCAGCGAUACGUGCUUUGAAAUAAGCGGCUUGCACUUGGGGUGAGGAAGGGGGAAACAUAAGGAAACCCAGCCCAUAUUUCCUAUUAUUAUUAUUAUUAUUAUUAUUGAUAUUAUUAUUAGUAUUAUUCCCUCCCCCGAUUAGAUAGGAGAACUCUUCUUCCCCCACCCCCCCGAGAGAGUGGAUUGAAGGACACAAAAAUGGUGUAUCGGUGAAAGGAAGAAAGUGGCCUUUUAAUGAGAACUAAAGGAAACCAAAACGCAGACGAAGCGCACCGUAAAGGCUGCUUCAAAGUGCGGUGUGAUCCCCGAGCGCAGCCACCGUGCAGACUCUUUGCAAAGAGCCGGGAGACAGCAGAAACCCUUUGCUGCUGCAAAUGAAGGAAGAGAGUCAACGCCAUUAAAAAAAAAUGAAGGCGAACCCACCCGUACCUGAGCGCUGCAGGGUGCGGCGGUCCCCGCCCCACCGCCGUGCCCCGUGCCCAUCUCCCGACCCUGGCUGUGCUGCAUCACAAGUCCGCACAAGCGACGGAGCGAUAAAUCCUACCAAAAAUAAGACAGAUCUCCUCAUCGAUGUGUAAUAAAGUUAAAGGACAUUGUUUUGUCAGACAAGCGCUAAGUAGAAAAUAAAUCUUUGGGUCUGGGGAAACAAAACGCAGUGCUGUUGGCAUGUGUGUAAAUUUACUUUUAAGAGCAAUAAAUCAAUGUUAAAUUAAACAGCUGGGUUCCUAUCUCGGAGAAUGGUCCGCGGUGAAGGAAACCUCGGCGGAGCCCGCUCCCUGUCCCCGCCACAUCCCCGCGGGCCGGGGGGCACCCGGUGGGGACACCCAGACACGGGGCACCCAUCUGGGGGGGCACCUGACCGGGAGGCUCUCAGCCGGGGCGGGACCUGCCCCAAUCCUUGGGGCCCCACCGAGCCGCCCCCGCUGCCUUGCGCCGGGGUUAAGCAGAGUAACCCGCCGAAACUGCUCAAUGCUGGCAUUAUCCGAGCACUAAUUUCAUCAUUUCUGCAUCAGGAGGCAGAGGCACGGCACGCAGCGCGCUGCCCUGCCUGUCGCUGGGAUCUAAUGUGGAGUGCCCGUCUACGGGGCGGCCGCGAAGGGUGCGAGGAAACGGGGUGCCCCCGGCACGCUGUGUGGGGUGAGAUCCUUCAGAUGCUGAGAGAAGGAGAGAAAGGAGGGAAAGGAGAGGGGAGAAAACGGGGAGAGUAGAAAGAAGGGGAAAAAAGAAAGGGAGGAAGGAGGAGAGAAAAAGAACGUGAAGAGAGAGAAAAUAAAUAUGAAGACAGGAAAGGAAGAAAGGAAAAUGGAAAGGGAGAAAAGGGGAGAAAGGAAGAAAAGAAGAAAAAUAGGAAAGAGGGAAGGAAAGAGAAAGAAGAAAGAAGGAAGGAGAACUGAGCUGAGGAGACGCGCAGUAAAGAUGAAGCACUCCGGUGUAGACACAACGCGAAUCAAUAAGUUAUUAAAAGCCCCGAACAACAAAAGCAAUAUUGCUAAGCAGAAAACAGCUUGGUUUUCUGUUAGAGAAUGUCUGUGUCUGACUGAGAAAUUUGAAGUUAUCAAGUAAAAUUUUAGAAGGACUGAGAAUAAAGGUAUUUGAGUGCAUUGGCUCUCACUAGUGUUACUCAUUCUCUCCCGAGCACGGGGACGAAGGCUCGGACGGAGGAUUCACGGUGACCGCAGCAGUGCGCUGCCCCCCGUCCCCCUUCCCGCUGUGUGCACACUGUUUGCUUUAUUUCCACAGAAAUGAUGCAAACGAGGAGCAGAAGCUUUUUAAAAAUUAUUUUUUAAAUUAUUUUUAUUUUUU
ensembl:lncRNA